rnacentral:rRNA from 1 species
UACGUAGGGGGCAAGCGUUAUCCGGAUUUACUGGGUGUAAAGGGAGCGCAGACGGCAGUGCAAGUCUGGAGUGAAAGCCCGGGGCCCGACCCCGGAACUGCUCUGGAAACUGUGCGGCUAGAGUACUGGAGGGGCAGGCGGAAUUCCUAGUGUAGCGGUGAAAUGCGUAGAUAUUAGGAGGAACACCAGUGGCGAAGGCGGCCUGCUGGACAGUAACUGACGUUGAGGCUCGAAAGCGUGGGGAGCAAACAGG